rnacentral:snoRNA from 1 species
GGCUCACAUCAGAAGGAAAGAGAUUAAAGCUAUGACCAAAGAUUGAAGUUCUCAAUAGGAUGCCAGAAAAAUCAAUAGUGCUAUGAUUUCCUGAGGAGAUACAAGA